AGAUUAAGUUAUUAAGGGCGCACGGUGGAUGCCUUGGCACUAGAAGCCGAUGAAGGACGUUACUAACGACGAUAUGCUUUGGGGAGCUGUAAGUAAGCUUUGAUCCAGAGAUUUCCGAAUGGGGAAACCCAGCAUGAGUUAUGUCAUGUUAUCGAUAUGUGAAUACAUAGCAUAUCAGAAGGC
rnacentral:rRNA from 1 species